GACGAACGCUGGCGGCGUGCUUAACACAUGCAAGUCGAACGGAAAGGCCCUGCUUUUGUGGGGUGCUCGAGUGGCGAACGGGUGAGUAACACGUGAGUAACCUGCCAUUGACUGUGGGAUAACUUCAGGAAACUGGGGCUAAUACCGGAUAGGAGCUCCUGCUGCAUGGUGGGGGUGGGAUAGUUUCGGCGGUUGGGGAUGGACUCGCGGCUUAUCAGCUUGUUGGUGGGGUAGUGGAUUACCAAGGCUUUGACGGGUAGCCGGCCUGAGAGGGUGACCGGCCACAUUGGAAUUGAGAUGCGGCACAGACUACUACGGGAGGCAGCGGUGGGGAAUAUUGCACAAUGGGAGGAAGCCUGAUGCAGCAACGCCGCGUGCGGGAUGACGGCCUUCGGGUAGUAAACCGCUUUCGCCUGUGACGAAGCGUGAGUGACGGUAAUGGGUAAAGAAGCACCGGCUAACUACGUG
rnacentral:rRNA from 1 species